AGCCCCGUGGUGGAAAACCAUGUUGGAUUGCAAAUCCAGAGAUGCAGACUAAUACCCUGCCGGGGCUU
rnacentral:tRNA from 1 species